CAGUCGCCGCGGUAAUACAGAGGGUGCGAGCGUUAAUCGGAUUUACUGGGCGUAAAGCGUGCGUAGGCGGCUUUUUAAGUCGGACGUGAAAUCCCUGAGCUUAACUUAGGAAUUGCAUUCGAUACUGGGAAGCUAGAGUAUGGGAGAGGAUGGUAGAAUUCCAGGUGUAGCGGUGAAAUGCGUAGAGAUCUGGAGGAAUACCGAUGGCGAAGGCAGCCAUCUGGCCUAAUACUGACGCUGAGGUACGAAAGCAUGGGGAGCAAACAGGAUUAGAUACCCGCGUAGUCCCUGUCUCUUAUAC
rnacentral:rRNA from 1 species